CCAGUUUUGCGCAGUUCAUUUGAUUUGCAUAAUUGUAUAAAGGCAAUACAUCCCAAUGCAUGAAGUCAUUUAUACAGAAAAUGGAAAAUAAAUUCUACUAUUUUUCUGAUAAACUGUUCCUUCUAAACUCAAGCAUUUAACAAUGCUAAGAUGUUAACAAGCACAAGAAACAAUCCAUGCAAUUUUGAUAAAUAUUACAUGCAUGUUUCAAGGCCUUAAUCCUCAAACUCCAGCAUCGCUUUCAUACCGGGUAGCUAAUACUCUCUUUUCACAUUCCCACUACCCAAACUUACAUAACCAACAGAAAACAAUUCGUGUGCAGGCCAGGCAGCUGCAAAUGGAUAUGCAAUGGCAGAACCCAUGAUCCUUGGUUCAAAACCAAUGCUUCAGAGAUUGUACAUAUCAAACGUUGUGUUCCAUAUAACAAGAACACCAUGCCUUGUAGUUACAAAAACAGGCCUCUUGAGACCCUGUUUGGAAAAGCUCAAAAAAAAAAAAAAAGAUUUAUGG
rnacentral:misc_RNA from 1 species